rnacentral:lncRNA from 1 species
GGGAGGGAGAGAGAGAGAGAGGGAGGGAGGGAGAGAGAGAGAGAGAGAGCACUUACAGUUCAGGCCUCAGGCUCUGUGCUCCCUCUUUAGGAAGGACAGACAGGUGAGGGAGGGAGACAGUCACAUCAGACUGAUGAUCGGGAUGAUGGUCGACUGAUGAGACACCUGAACAGGUGAUCCUCUCAGGGGUCUUUGAGUUUCAACACGAGAAUAUUUAAAAAUGAGGAUUUGUUCACGUACAGAACAGACCAAAAGUUUGGACUCACCUUCUCAUUCAGUGUCUUUUCUUUAUUUUUAUACGACUGUUUACAUUGUAGAUUCUGACUGAAGGCAUCAAAACUAUGAAUGAACACAUGAGGAAUUAUGUACUUCAGAAAAAAGUGAAAUAACUGAAAACAUGUUUUAUAUUCUAGUUUCUUUAAAGUAACCACCCUUUGCUCUGGAUGACAGAAGUUCUCUGAUACAUGUUAGCCAAUGAAAAGCUCCGUUACAUCACUACACACCUGGAUUUAUAACUUUGUUUGACCAUUAAGCGACCUUCACACUCCUGUCUUCAAUCAUCAGUUUAAGUGAAAUAAUCCAGGUUUCAUGUAGAUCUGAUUCAGGUCCGAGUCUGUGCUCACGUACCUGCACAAUCCAGGUGGUUCUGACUGUUUAUAAAUGAGAGGAUCUGCCGUGUUUCACUGAUCUUACAGGUUUGUCUGUAAAAUAUCAGGAGGCUGAAACCGUCGACUUUUGCUUUAGAGUCAGUGUGACGUGGGUGAAGGAGUAUUCUGACAUUUUCACACCACAGGAAAAUACACCGGAGAAAAUUACGAGGCCAGCUCCAAAAACAGCUCCUAUGAGGGGCUGAAAGUCCAGUCAGGUCCGGCUCAUAGUAACCCGGUUAGUUUUUACACCGUCUGUCAGGAAAGUCAGAAUUCUAAAAACUAAGAUUUGGUUUAAUGAGCUCUGAUAGAGAAAAGUUUGAAGUUUAAAACAACAGUUUGAUAACAGAAGAACUGUGAUAUAAAAACAUAGAGAACAGCUGAUCAGAGAGAGAGAGAGAGAGAGAGAGAGAGAGAGAGAGAGAGAGAGAGAGAGAGAGAGAAACGAGAGUGAAGCAGAAAUCAGGAAAAUAUGUUCAGAGGAGAAACUGUCAGAAGAACGAGCUGUAAAUAAAUCUACAAGAGAGACGUUCAGAUAAACGCAGCUACAGAGAGGCAGUUAGUGUGUCAUUAAUGCACUCAGACAGACAGACGCACACACACACACACACACACACACACACACACAGACGGAGUGGCCAGCAGAGCCUCUGAUAAGAAGUUGGACUUUGGUCUGUCAUUCGUGGGUGUUGCAAAGAGGCCCGAGAUAAAACUGCUGGCCUGAGAGACGAACACAGAGGAGGCGGCUGAUUACGUUUAACCUGACACUGUGUGUGUGUGUGUGUGUGUGUGUGUGUGUGUGUGUGUGUGACGAACAGGGAGGACAGUAUCGAUCGGAGCAGGAACAUGGGCUCAGGGACGCAGCAGAUUCUCAGCAGCCGGCCUCCCCUCUGCUGAGCGGAGCGGGUUAAAGGUUGAGGUGCAGGUUUCUGGAGCGGUUGCUGGUUCUGAUCCCGGAGUCUCUGGACUGUAAGAUCCUCUGAUCUUUGUGCCCUGGAGCAAAUGUUCAACCUGAACUUUGAGCAAACAGGUUUUUGUCUCUGUAAAUGACCGCAGGCUGAGAGGAUCCUGCAGAAAUAAUCGAUUUAUUUCAGGUGCAGAAAAUUCAGUUUCAGUCCGUCCUGAUGUUUCCCUCAUCGGCUGAACUCUUGGCGUGUUUUCGGUCAGAUCUGAGCGCGCUCUCUCCGCUCUGCUGUAUUUCUGUUGGUGUUUCCUCGGCUGUAUCCUCCUCCGUCUGUUUGCUCUGACCCAGUUUCCCCUCUCACAGCAUUAAAGUUUCAUCUUAUCUUAUCUUAAUUUCUCACAGUAACAUUGUGUCUGUUGUGAUUACACACAAAACACCUGCUGGGUUUGCUCUGUAACAUGAUCCCCGCUGGAUUUCAAAAUAAAAGUCACGUGUGCUGAGAAGUUGUUGUGGUGUCUGUGAUGAAAUCUCUUAUAUCAGAGGUUCUUCUCCUCUCUUCUUCUCUCAGGAUGUUUGGAUAUGCAGCCGAGGAGGAGUGAAGAUCAAUAUCCUCAGGACUUCGUACCGCUCCUCUUCUCGUGUGAGCGCUGAGGGCCUCAGGUUGGAUUUUACGACGCUCCACAGGGGAACCCCCUCUCGGCAGGUUUCUCUUUUAUCACCUGGAUCCACAAAUUCACCUUGAUUUCCUGUUUGAUUUCACGCUGCAUACAUGGAGAGGAAAUCCACCCGAAAAAUGCAAAUUCACUCUAAUCAGGAGAUAGUUCUGGCAGGCUGCCUGUACAACCACAUUCAGCGGUGACGGACGUUUCAGAGAAGCUGCUCAGCUCUGACGUCUGAGUGAAGCUGGAGGGGAAUCUAAAAUCCGACAGUCAAGUUUGAGCUCAGCCAAUCAGAGAGUCUGCAGGUGAACAGUCGCGGCUAACAUUAGCGUACCGAGCGUCACAAGGUGUCAGGGUACAGUGUGUUGAUCCGAACUGGGUGAUUAAUCCGAUUUUAACUCUGACUACGACUAUUUUAAUCUACGAUGGUUUUCUUUGAAUCUCGUUUCUGCAGACUGCCUCGUGUGGACACUCUGAGAACUGCAGCUUUUAGUUUUCUCUCUUUUUACCCACAAUUUCCACCGCAUCCAGAACAGCUUUGAUCCGGAAUGACAGCGAUUUUCGCCGUCCACCAGUUCCUACCAGACCUGUUUAUGAGGCGAACUUCGUGGUGGAUUACGGCGGUAAUCACAAGAACUCACAAGAACCUGCAGAUUCACGUUCAACCGCGCGAUAACGAGUUGUCUCUCUAAAGACAGACACAUAGACAUAUAAGCAGUAGAUUGUGUCCUUCCAGAGGAGGAAAUCUACUUCUAGACUUCUAGAAUCAGCAUCUCCUCAUCCAUGGUGUCAUCGGGGUGAAAUGACGUCUAAAAACCUUUCACUUGUUCGUCUCCGCCCGUUUGCAUGGUGUGAAAUACGAUCCUCCUGAAACACGGAGUGUUUUAUUUUGAAAAGAAGCCGGAUGUUUUAUUUUGUGUCUGUGCCCGACUUCCUUUCCAGCACGGGUUAAUCUGUGCUGAAUUUAUCCGCCAUGCUCGGGCGUCCAGAAAAAAUAGAACUCUUGUAAUCAGCUGAGGAGUCCGGCGAUCCGCAGAGGAACGGAAAGAAGUCGGUGUAAAUCGACACGUUAACUUGAAUGGUUACGAUCAGCUACGAUCGGAGGAUACGACCUUUUAGGAGACGAUCAGGAUGAGGUGGAGGUCGGGCGUAAACCUUGAGAUGUUGUUUAAAACUGAGGAUGCAGCAUCUAUAAUUUACAGUUCUUCGUUGAAAGGACAACUAAGUCCAGUUGUCCUUUCCAAAAGAGUUUUAGAUUUUGAUUUUGAUCCACAGAGGAACGGAAAGAAGUCGGUGGAAAUUGGGGGUUAGAUGGUCAAACUGCAGAAAGGACCACAGCUCCUUAUGAAAAAGGUCAAACACCAUCACAAACACAAACACCUGAGGAGCUUCUCCACUGUCUGUUUGAGGAGCGUUAAACCUCCUCCUGUCGUUCUGCUCCUGACCUCCGUGGAUCCUCCUGCUGUAGCUCCCCGUUUGUUUACCUGCAGUCAGAGACAUCAAUUAAAGCUUUGUGUGACAUUUUGCGUGCUGAAUUCAAAUGCAGUGAAACCACAGGUAAUUGGUCUUCAGAGCACACCCAGUAAUUAAGUUGCCCACAGCUCCACCUAUCAGUGACCCAUCAGUCAUUAGGAUCUCUGAUAGCACACCUGCUGCUUUUCCACUUGGCAUGGGACUCUAGGAGAGAAAACAAAACUGUAGGAGGGCGAUAAAACGUGGCUUUAAAACCAUUUUACCCAAGAGUGACUAAAAUGUAAAAUAUUUGAUCAUCAUGUGAAGCUCUGAUCUUUGAUUCGCUCCUCAAAACGUCUCUUUUCUGUCCGUUUCUGGUCAGUAUUUCAGAGUGAACGUCCUGUUUCUUCAGUUUGCUUAAACCAGGACGUGAGCUGUGACAGUGUCAGGACGGUGUGAGGAGACAUAAAAUGUCCUCGAGUGCGAUGAGACCUUCAGGAAUGUUCUCCGACAUCUGGAGAGCAUCUGUCGACUCGAACACACAAAGAGGCCGGGAGCUGCCGGCUAGACUUUAAGACAACAUGAGAGGAGCUGACAAGACGGACGCUACUGUCCGCUGCCUCCUAAAUCACAGACACACACACACACACACACACACACACACACACACACGCACACACACACACACACACACACACACACACAGAACCUGAAAGUGUGGAGAUGUUCUGAUGAAUCUGAGCCGGGCUUUUAUUUUGAAAUCGGUUCAGUUAGACUCUUAUUUUGCCUUCAGUCAGAUUUACUCUCAUCGUUUCCAGUUUGGAUCUUUAAUCCUCCUUGAUGAUCCUCCUGAGAUCCUCUUUGGGGGUUCAGGUCAGACCAGCAGACCAGUUUCUGGUAGUUCUGGCGCUGUGGGCGGGUCCAAGGUCCUGCUGGAAAAAGAAACUCCAUAAAGCUUCUCAGAAGAUGAAGGUCUCUGAGACCUCCUGGUAGACUUCAGGCCGGGUUGACUCUGGACUUGGACCCAGUAGACCAGCAGCAGCAGAUGACAUGAAACCCAAAACCACCACAGACUGUGGAGACUUCACGCUGGACUUGAAGCUCCUUAGAUUCUGGACCUUUCCGAUCUUCCUCCAGACUCUGGGACUUCGAUUUCCAAAUGAGACGCUGGAAACAGGACUUUGGACCACUGAGCCUCAGUCCAGUUCUUUGUCUUCUGGGUCCAGGUGAGACUCUGAUGUUGUCUCUGGUUCAGGAGGAACACUUGUAGUCCAUGUCCCGGGAGACUCUGGAUCCUCUAGAAUUGUCAAAAGUAUCGAUUUUUACACGCCGUAUCUGGACUCAAUACUAAUUUGCCAUAGUAUUGAUACUACGGCGUGCGUGCCCGCAGCACAGCCGACUCAGCAGACAGCGUCCAGCAGUCGGAAGAGCCCCCCCAGCUCGCUGUCCCACGUUUUACUGCUGUUAUGUUUGGCCAGCGUUACAAAGUGGUGGCGACAAAGUCGAGAAGCACGACGAAUUUGGCGAAACAUCUCAAGGACCGACACCCCGACCUUCAUGAAGAAUUCCAGCAGGUUAGUGAAGCUCCGUUCAUCUUCUACCUUAGUGUGAUAAACUGAUUCAUGAUGUUAGUCUGACCGGCGGUAAUCCGCGGUAGCUGCGGUUAGCUUCAUGCUCAGUGAAUGUCGGUUGUUUUGUUAUUAGCCAUUGGCCUUUAGCUCGCUAACGUGAGUCUAACGUGUUUUCUCCUCUUAAAGAUACAGACUGAAGCAGAGAGAAGUCGACCUGCGACUAAACCGAAGAAACCACAGCCUCGUCUUCCUCUGAUAUUUGAGAAACAGAAAGUUUGACCCAAAGUCUCAUGAAGCUUCAAAAUAAACCGAGCUGAAGCUGCAGAAUAGAUCUGUGAGGACCGACUAUUAAAACUUAUCUGCCGUUCAAUUUUUCAUGUUAAUAAAAAUAUUUUUAUCCUUUGAAAGUAUUUGUCGUUUUCUAUCCCCACGAUAUCAAAAAUAGUAUCGAGUAUUUUCCUGGGUAUCAGUAUUGAGUUUGAAACUUUAGUAUCGUGACACCCCGAGGAUACUCUGACUCCAUCCUCGGUCCAGAUUAGACCUUUUUUCAGGACUGAACACAAACUGGACUUUUACACGAUAUUCUGACGGAUCAGAAAGCGUUUUUUUGUUUUGGGUGAGCGGUACAGUCCAGCAGGUUCUGGACAGCUCCAUCUCUGCUGCGGUGAACUCUGACCCUUAAGUCCCAAACUUUACAAACAGGCCUGAAGACUCACGCUUCGCUCUGUCCACACAGGUGAAGCAGGUAUAAAUAAACUUUGUCUAGGACUUUAUGGUGGUGAGGAAAGAGAAGAAAGGUGAGGAAGACGGCCGUGAGUCGGCAAAUAUUCUCCUGACACUGAUUAUUUGCUGCAAAUAUUUGCUGCGAAUCAGAGAAUUAAUCUUUGUUUACAGCACAGACAAUCUCUGAUUGUUUAAUAUUCUACCAGCUGAAAAUCAAAUUUGCUUUGACUUUAUCUGUGUAUCCUAUAGCUGCGACGAGGAGCGCAGGAACCGCCGCUGAGUGUGUGAGCGACGGCGUGUGAGGAAGACGGCACGGUUUGUUUUCACUGAGAGGGACAGAGAAAAUAUCAGUGCUCCGAAAAUACACUAAAAUAAACUCACAGAAUAUACAGUCACCCAAAACACACACUCAUAAACACACACACACACACAUAUAAACACACAGCUGUUGUCUUAUCAGUCAUCACAGGUGUUCAUGUUAAAGGAUCCGCCCAUUACCGGUUUCCCACUACGAGGGGAUGUUAGCGUGUGUGUGUGUGUGUGUACCUGUGUAUGUGUGUGUGUGUGUGUGUGUGUGUGUGUGUGUACAGAUUAUUGUCUUCUUUCUGCUCAUCAGUGUCCUUCCUGCUCCUGUACGGUGGCCGUGAACCGCCACUCGCCACGGCGAAGGAAAAAUAAAGAAGUCGCAACGGAAGUUAACGACGAAAAAAAAAAGUGGCGAUGCAAAAUAAAUAAAUAAAUAAAAUAGUUACUUUCUGCGAAAAUAAAAGGAUGCAAAUAAAAAAUUCCUCAACGGAAAUGACAUGUUAACUUGAAUGUUUACGAUCAGCUACGAUCGGAGGAUACGACCUUUUCGUAGACGAUCAGGAUGAAGGUGGCGGUUUGGGGUUAGAGAGCAGGACGAGGGUUUGAUUCCUGCAGGUGAGCUAACGUUUUCAGGAGGACACUUUCUCUCCUGUGUUUCCACGUUAACUCCAACCCCCUGAAUCAGAAACAUGGCUGCAGGGUCACUAACCCCCCCCCCCUUUGACUGUGUGUGUGUGAGUGAGAGGGUGAUAAUUGGUUCUCACCAGGGGGUCUCUGAUUGGAGGCUGGAAAAACAAAUGAGCAUCAGUAACAGGUCUGUGAAAGUGAGAGGGACCCUCAGAGUAACACGUCUGUGAGUCAGGGGGGCGGGGCCAGGAGCUGUCACUCAUCUGGAGACCACAGCCUCACCUCUGCUGUCGUGGUCGUCCUUUCUGACCUGUGUGUUAUUUUUAUUUCAUCAUAGUUGAGUCAGAUCAAUAAAUCAAAUUAAUCAAUAAAACCAUGUUAAAGGAAAUCAGCAGAAAUAUAAACACACAGAGUGAAUGUGAAGCUCUUUCUAACAGAGAGGAGGAAACUCCUGAUUGAUAUUAAUACGACCUCUCAGACCCUAACCCUAAACAGGCCACGCCCACUCAGGUGUCAUGGCCGCCGCCGCUGUGCUCUGGCUUCGGUCCGUCUGAUGUUGUGACUCAUUUGUCCAUAAAAUUAAACUGCUCUGACUUCAGGCUCAUAAAGCUGUUUGAUGUCCCGCCCCCUCAGAUUAAAGUCAGACAGGAGCUGCCAAUCAAACUUUGUCUGUACACGCCCAACUGUCACCAGUUACUGCACACCUGUAUCCUCCUGUAGACAGGUGCAAAGACCGCACAAAACCACACCUGUGCGUCUGAACCUGUCGUGUUUUGUGUUUCUGUUCUUACGUUUUGCUCUCGGAGCGUCGUCUUCUCCGGUUCAGCAGAGAGUGGAGAAGAAACGUUCAUUUUCUCUGAGGAUAAAAACCUGCCGCUGCUCCUCACAGCUGUUUUAUUGUCCUCUCUUACAUGUGUGUGUGUGUGUGUGUGUGUGUGUGUGUGUGUGUGUGUGUGUGUGUGUGUCCAGCUGUACACACACACAGCUAAUGAGCUCCAAGUGCCGGCUGCAGUUGUCACAGUGGUGCGACCGUCACGAAGGCCACAAAACCGGAUGAUUUAAGGUCAUCCUGCUCUGAGGCUGAGAGAGAGAGAGAGAGAGAGGGAGAGAGGGAGAGAAAAGAGAGAGAGAGAGAGAAAGAGAGAGAGAAAGAGAGAGGGAGAGAAAAUAGAGAGAGAGAGAGAGAGAGAGAGAGAGAGAGAGAGAGAGAGGAAACUCAAAGACGAGAAGUUACGACUUAAGUUUGAAAACGGGUUCAGGUUCUUUAAAAAUAACCAAAAAAAUCUGAUAUUUCAUAUUUACAGUUUGUAUCAAGUUAUCAAGAUAAUAUCAGGUAAAUAUAAGACGGUCGUCGUGCACGUCAGUGUAAGGUAACUGUUUAGAUGUUAAAGGUACAGUCCGUAGAAGAGCGAAUGUUCAUACGUCGCUCCCUUGAUCGAGACGUUGAUAAGAUCAACACAAAGUCAAAGAACUCUAAUUUAACACACCUCUGAACUUCGAACACGUCUGUUUGGCUAAAACUUGCUAAAUUAAACACACUGUACCUUCAACAUCAACAAGAAGACGUGAUAAAACCUGAUAUAUAAUAAAAAAAUGUAAUAAGUGGUCGAUAAUGUAACAAGACGCUGAGCCUAAAACGAAACAACCAUCUCACAAACGGAUCGGCGUACGGCGAAAAUCGGAAACCCCGGGAAAGAAAAGACGAACAAGGGGGAAGUGGAUCAGUCUCAGAGAACUCAAAGGUCCAUUCGAUCCUGAACCACAAAGGCAGAUUCAUCCUGACACCCUGCUGUGUGCAGAGCAGGAUCUCAGAGUCCCCAUCAAAACGAAGUCCUGCAGGAGCGGGCUCGGUACUGGUUCUACUGGACCUCAGUGUAUGACUCAGUGGACCAUCAUAUUGUGGUUGAUAGGUAGGUACUGGUGGUCCUGCUUUAGACCGGCUCUCAGUGGAGUUCUCAAGGUUCUGCCCUCAGCCCGGUUCUGUUAACCCUUUCCCUGCUUCCACUUGGCCACAUAACACCAGAAGAUCCACCGGUUAUAGAUAUCACUCACACCCACCAACGUCACCAUGGUAACCAAACUCCUCAAGUGUUUUAGUGCUUCAUGAAAACAGACGAGAAGAACGACAACAGGACUGAAAACAACCAGAACCGAACCAGGACUGAACCAGGACUGAACCAGGACUGAACCAGAACUGAACCAGGACUGAACCAGGACUGAACCAGGACCACCAACAGGUCCACCCGCCUGGUUAGACUGUUUUUCUACCUUCCCGAAACCUUAAAAUGGUCGUGGUCUGAGGAGGGGGCGAUGAAGAAGAGGAGGAGGAGGAGAAGAAGAAGGAGGCUGGAAGGACGAAAAAAGCCGGGGGAAGGACUGAAGGCCAGCAGAGGGGGAGGAGGGGAGAGAGAAAGAGAGAGAGAGAGAGAGAGAGAGAGAGAGAGAGAGAGAGAGAGAGAGAGAGAGAGAGGGAGAGAGAGGGAGAAAGAGAGGGAGACGGCCGCUACCAGGGGAUGAAUGAGAGCUACUAUGUCUGCUGGCUCCGGAUGCUGUGUGUGUGUGUGUGUGUGUGUGUGUGUGUGUGUGUGUGUGUGUGUGUGUGUGUGUGUGUGUGUGUGUGUGUGUGUGUGUGUGUGUGUGCGGCUGAACGGGGCUCCUUGAGGAGAGCCUGACAGCCUCUCACGCUCAGGUAGACAAGCCUCACUUAUUUUCACAUCACAGGCCGAAAACUCACCGCAGCUCAGGUUGAGCCACUUCAGACACCGUAGAUUCUUAUUUUUACCUCUAACAUAGAAAACAGAGCUAGAUUCUGCACCGAGUCCCAGACAGACACCGGGUCAGGUAUCUGGUUGUUGAGGACCGUACAGGGACCCCCAUGAGGUUCUACUAAUGCAGCAGGUCUUAACAGAACUUUAACGUGAAAUAUAACAACCAAAAAGGACCUGAGACCCAAUAAGACAGGUGUGCGUCCAUAAAGAUAACCAAUCAUUGUCCUCCUGCAGUCAGAGGUGAUAUCUUAUCAGUCUGCAGUCUGAUACUAUAAAUAAGAGGAAGCAGACGGCUGUAAACGCUGCAGGAUGUAACUCCGGCUUCGAUUUAGACGAGUGAACGAUCAGCUCCGACUCUGCAGGCUCACCUGUGGAGCUCCGACAGGUGUGUGUAAGUCUGAACACCACAGAGACGACACUGUAGAUUCACUUUGAGAUGAUCAGACUCUGAGAAGUUCUGACCCAGAUCCUGAUCCAUUCGCUCAAAAGUUCUCCACGUGUCUACCUCUGACUAAAUCAAAGGAGGCCGGCCACAUCCGCCAUGUUUGGAGACAUUUGCAUGAUACAAGCGGAGAUAAGAGCAUCGGUAUCGUCAGAAAACGUCCUGAGGUGAUCGGAACAAAAUACCUGAAAAUCCAGUUUGAGCGAAAAACAAACAGAAAAACUCUGUUCAGGUAAAUAAAGGAGACAGAGGGCCGCCACCGCCACCGCCGCCGCUGCGGUUAUUAGACAGUGGAGUCCUUCAGAGCAGGAUCAGUUGGCCUGUUAGCCCCCGGGGUUUUCUCCCGCUCUGUUUGAUUAGUCAUUACAGCCUGAAGGCGUCUUUAUCGUCCUCCUCUACUUAGGGAUGCAAACUCAGUUUCCUUUAUCAGCGAGUGUGACACAGGUCACUGAGUCAGAGCGUGAAGACUGUAACCGCUGUCACAGGAUUUACAUGUCGGCCUGUAAAACACGACGAAGACCGUCUCCUCAAACCGUCUCUGAACUUUGUUUUUGGACGUGGAGGAAUGUCCGAGUCUGAAAUACUUCUUCUCCUCGACUCUUCCUCCUCUCAUCUCUCCAUUUCUGUCUCCCCCUCUCUCUCUCUCUCCCCCUCCACUCUCACUCCCUCCUGUCAAAAUAAACACAUUGAGAGCUGCCCUUCUUUUCAUUCAGAGCCCACAGCCUCGUCUAGGGCCCGCUGCUGUCCUCCUGUCUGUGUCCCCUGUGUGUGUGUUUCUCUAAAGUAUUUAUGACACACAUUGAAAAGCUGCUUUUUUACACCUCCUCCUCCUCCUCCUCUUCCUCCUCCUCCACCUCCUCCUCCUCCUCAUCUUGCCCCGGCGUGGUAUCUGACAUAACCGGCGCUGGGUUUCUCUCCACAGCGCUGCCUUCCUGGCAGAUAGAGGGGCCGCCGACCGCCGCUGGGGGAACUUUCCUGGCUCGGGGAAGCCGUUGGACAAUCACGCCUUUCAUGGGCCGGAGAAAACGCCGCCCGUCCAGCGGCUCCCAGGCCACGGCGCGGGGAAUUUCUCCCUGGACCCUCUCUCUGUCUCUGACUGCUGUUCUGUGCUG